GAUUCUGAUGUGUGCUUCAACAUGAUUAAGCCUUGAGUUCUUUCUGCUAAGUGAAAUAAUCAGACUCAAAAAGACAACUACUACAUGAUUCCACUUAACAGAGGUGCGUAACGUCAUGAAAUGCAUAGGCAGAAAAUGAAAAGGUGGUUGUCAGCGGCUGGAGGGAGGGGGAAAGAGGAGUUGGUGUUUAAUGGGUACAGAAUUCCAGUUGGGGAAUAUGAAAAAGUUCUGGGUGGGGAUGGACAGUGGUGGUGGUUGAACAACAACCUAAAUGUACUUCCUGCCACUGGAUGUACACUUAAAAGUGGUUAAAAUGGGCCGAGCGAGGUGGCUUGCGUCUAAUCCCAGCACUUUGGGAGGUCGAGGUGGGCAGAUCAUGAGGUCAGGAGAUUGAGACCAUCCUGGCUAACAUGAUGAAAUCUCCGCUCUACUAAAAAUACAAAAAAUUAGCUGGGCAUGGUGGCAUGCACCUGUAGUCCCAGCUACUCAGGAGGCUGAAGCAGGAGAAGUGGUUGAACCCGGGAGGUGAAGUUUGCAGUGAGCUGAGAUCAUGCCAUUGCAUUCCAGCCUGGGUGACAGAAGAGGAACCCUUCUCAAAAAAAAAAAAAAAAAAGACAGAAAAAAAAGAAAGGAAAAAAAUGGUUAAAAUGGUGAAUUCUAUGUUAUAUAUAUUUCACAAUAAUUUACAAUAAUUCCUAUUGUUUUGCAUAAAACAGCUGUAGAAAGCUUUGCAGGUCAUGAACAGCACAGCUGGCCACUGGGGCUGGCGUGGGGCUAGGACCUGGGUGCAUAGGGAACAGGGAUGAGACACAGGCUCUUCAUGCCUGCACACAUAUACAGAUACACACAGAUGGAAAUUACUGAGCCAUCUAAAUACAACACCUAUUCAAAAAAUCAAACAGAAAAAGGAAAUGUAAUGGGGCUGAAGGAUGAGGGUAGGUGGGGUGGCUGCUCAGGAGGACUGUGGAGGCCACAUCGCCUAACCUUCGAGGCCUCUCUUAGCAGCUGGAGUGCAUCCCGGGGACUUGGGAGCUCUGGAAAGAGGAGCAGGAAAGGGCCAUGGCCGGAGGAGGCCUGAAAAAGAUCAUCUCUGCCACAGAGAAGAAGCUGGCUCGGAUGCUGCUGGCCCCUAUGGAGACAGGGAGACCCGGGGAGACAACUGUAUUCAUUCAAGGAGGAAUGGGUGGUGAUGCAAACUUGGGUGGAGGCCACAGGGUGCAGAAGACAGGACACAGCAGAGAGAGAUGUAGGACAUGGAAGGGACAGAAAGGAGUGACCACAGGACAUAAAGGGGCAAGGAAAGUGGAAGCAUGAUAACAUCUGCUGGGCAUCCGGCUGAGGGGUUGGGUGCCUAGGGUGCCCUUCCCUAAGGGAGAACCCCAGGAGCAGAUUCAGAGAAAACCGCCCAGCUCACUCCAGCAAGAAUCAGAAAAGGACCGGUUAAAGGAGAGGGUAGGAAGGUCACCAAGCUCCAAGGGCCCUCAUGAAUCCGGCUUGGAGGCCACAGGGCCCAGGGCAAGGACAAACCACAGGCACAGGACAGCUCCGGUCAAGAUCUUCUGGCUACUGCAGGAGGCAGAAACCACACCCUGCACCCUGCACUGCUGAGGCUGGCGCUGGAGUCCAGAAGCUUCUACACCAGAAGCUUCGGUCCCCCAUCCCUGCUCAAAAAAUUAAAACAAAAACAAUAACAAAUCGGUGUCAUGCACCCUCUGCUUCCUGGUGCUGUUCGGGACCCUGAGUCUUUCACGGGAGCACCUGAUGGGGAAAGCCUGGACCCGUGUCGGUGUCCCUCCUGCAAGGAGUGCUGGGAAAAUGAACUUUCCAGCUUCCUCCUUGCGAAGGCAGAACAUUCCCCAUGUGUACUGGUGGCAUUUAAAAACUGCAGGGCAGCCAGAGAACAUGGACUGUGUUCCACCGGGAGAGUUCCUGGCGGGAUGUCCCGGUGCAGAAGCCCGUCCCAAGAGAUUAUUCCAGGAAAAGAAGUGGCCCUCAGUGUCAAAGGAUGCAAAACUAACCUCUGAGUUCCUGGCAGGUUUAGCAAUAAAGGAGGAUGUUGCUGAUCUCAGUACAAGCAAUGUUAGAGAAAGGGGAAGAUGGAAGUGGACAAGGACGAGUGAGUGGAAGGUGACAAAUGGAAGCAAAGAAACGUAUCCAGACCAUUGAAGAUGCUUGAGCGAGAAGAAAGAGGCGGUGGAGGGAAUGGAAGCCCGAGGAAGUCAUAUGUUGCAAUAAGGGGCCUCAGAGCACGUGUAGAGUGUGGAGCAGAGCCCUUGCAGAGGGGCUGUGGAAGGCUGGCAGGGUGCAGGUGGCCCCACUCUCCGUCACCCUGAGGAGUGUGUGGUCAGAGUUAAAGCUCAGUCUGUUUCUGGGAUCAGGCUUUCACAAGCUCCAAAAGAUUCACCGUGCAGAACUGGACGUUCUAGAGAAAGACCACGCCUCCUCCUGCAGGUAACUCUUCAUUCAGGAAGCAGCUCUUGGCU
rnacentral:lncRNA from 1 species